UUCCUGCCUGUACCCAGUGCUCUCCGAUGCGGGGCUGCUACCUGUGCCACCUACCUGCGCUGUGACUUGGCUUCCCAUCCUACAGAAGGGGAGCCUUCUCAGUUUCUCGGGUGCAAAACCCAAGCUUUGGACAACGGCAGAAGCAGUCAAUUAUGUUCUCACUCUGUCUGCUUUGGAAGUCCUGGAGUGUGCUGGUGUGACCACAGCCGUAGGAGCGGGGCGGUUCGGGAUAAAUCAGAAACAAAAGGGCCAUUAUCCAUAUGGGACCCCAUGAGCGCACCGCAUACCCCAGCAAUCCCGAGCGCUCUGCGUACGGUUCUCGCUUGGUUUUAACUCAAUUUCUUUGAGAUGCAAAUUAGAGGGAUUAUAUUCAGAGGCUACAUCAGAAAGUCUUUAAUCCAAAUGGGCUAUAAGAUUUAUUUGGAAGAGCCAAAUGUCUUGUCUGGGACAGAAGCAACCGAGCUGAACUGAAACAGAUGGACAUAAAGGAAAUUAAGCAACUCUAAUGGUCUUAUCCAGAGUUUCAAAGUAUUUGGUCUUCGGAAAGCUCCAGCUCCUGGAAGCACGUGAUGAGACGGGGAGCUCAAGUUUCAUUUCAAAACAGGCUUUGCAGUUCACUGAGAAAGACAAUAAUAAUGUUUUUAUUCCUCCUGUGUACGGAGGGAAGGCUGAUGGUUCUUGGGGUGCCGGGAGGUGGUCCUCCUCAUCUCUGCAAGGGGAAAGCAUCUGCAGCCUGAGCAGUGAGCAGCAGCAGCCCUCCUGCUUGCAGCUGCACCAUGCCCUGCUUGGCUCAGUGCUGAGUACCCGGAGCAGAGGAGCUUCACGUGUCUGCACGUUUGC
rnacentral:lncRNA from 7 species